rnacentral:tRNA from 1 species
CAGGGAGACAACAAAAUGUUUAAUAUUAAUUUUGUCACCUUAGGUCGAUCGGUAUCUCACAUUCUUAUUCAAUUAAGGAUUUCUUUUUCUAAGUUUUUUUCUAGGUCACACCCAUUUAUUUUCCUGGGCCAUUAGCUCAGGUGGUUAGAGCGCACCCCUGAUAAGGGUGAGGUCCCUGGUUCAAGUCCAGGAUGGCCCAUAUCUCUAUGUUGGGGGUAUAGCUCAGUUGGUAGAGCGCCUGCUUUGCAAGCAGGAUGUCAGCGGUUCGAGUCCGCUUACCUCCACUGAUUACCACCUCUUCCAUAAUCUGUAGAAGGGAAAGUUUUUGAGUUGUGAUCUAAUUCUGAACGAAUCUAGCUUCCUAAUGAAAUCAUUAAGAUGCUGGACUCAUUGAAUUAAUUUCAUUGUUUUCAGAGAACCUUGACAACUGCAUAGAUUUUUAAAAGACAAUAAGCAUCUUUUAUGAUGCAGAUUUAUUAUUUGUGCGAAUGCAUCAAAUAACAAUUCUAUUAAGCUGAUGCUUCA